UAACAGGGUUUUCCCCAGAAAACUUGCUAAACCAGGUGGUCGGGGUGCCGAGGCAGUCCACUGUGUUUUUGUAUUAAAAGAUGUUAAGUUGACAGGAAAUUUAAAAAUAUGACUU